rnacentral:rRNA from 1 species
UGAGCAACCUGCCCUUCACAUUAGGAUAACCCCGGGAAACCAGGGCUAAUACCGAAUACGACCACCGACGACAUCGUCUGGUGGUGGAAAGCUCCGGCGGUGCAGGAUGGGCUUGCGGCCUAUCAGCUUGUUGGUGGGGUAGUGGCCCACCAAGGCGACGACGGGUAGCCGGCCUGAGAGGGUGACCGGCCACACUGGGACUGAGACACGGCCCAGACUCCUACGGGAGGCAG